rnacentral:tRNA from 1 species
UACAUUUUGGUGUAUGGUGCACAAGAAUUUUUGAUGUUUUGGGUAAUAGUUUAAUUCUAUUGGAUGUAA